rnacentral:rRNA from 1 species
CGAAGGUUUUUACUUGGUUGGCUUGCAACUAGAAAAACGUUAAGACGGGCGAACGGGUAGGAGGUAAACACGUAAAGAACCUAGACCUCAUAGACGGGACGAACUAUUGGAAACGAUAGCUAAUACCGGAUAACAAGCAUAAAUACGCAUGAUAUAUGUUUAAAAGUUAGGUUUCGGUCUAACACUAUGAGAUGGCUUUGCGGUGCAUUAGCUAGUUGGUGGGGUAAAGGCCUACCAAGGCGACGAUGCAUAGCCGACCUGAGAGGGUGAUCGGCCACACUGGGACUGAGACACGGCCCAGACUCCUACGGGAGGCAGCAGUAGGGAAUCUUCCGCAAUGGGCGAAAGCCUGACGGAGCAACGCCGCGUGAGUGAAGAAGGAUUUCGGUUCGUAAAGCUCUGUUGUUAGGGAAGAAUGACUGUAUAGUAACUAUAUACAGUAGAGACGGUACCUAACCAGAAAGCCACGGCUAACUACGUG